UUGGGGAAUUUUCCGCAAUGGGCGAAAGCCUGACGGAGCAAUACCGCGUGAGGGAGGAAGGCUCUUGGGUUGUAAACCUUCUUUUUCUCGGGGAAAAAAAAAUUGACGGUCCUUGAGGAUUAAGCUUCGGUUAAUUCCGGGCCAGCAGCCGCGGUAUUACGGAGAAUGCAAGCGUUAUCCGAAAUGAUUGGGCGUAAAGGGCCCGCAGGGGGCUAUGUAAGCCGCUUGUUAAAAAACCUACCUAACUAAGUUAAAACCAGGGAAACCUACAGGGUUAAAGUGCUUCCGGGUAAAAGGAAUUUCCUGGGGUACGGGUGAAUGGCUAAAAUAUCAGAAAAAACACCGGGGAAAAGGGGCUCUAUUAGGCCGCACUUGACCCUGAGGAACAAAAGCUAGGGAAGCGAUUGGAAUUAAAUACCCCAUUACCAAA
rnacentral:rRNA from 1 species